GUGAGGAAUAUUGGUCAAUGGACGAGAGUCUGAACCAGCCAAGUCGCGUGAAGGAAGACGGUUCUAUGAAUUGUAAACUUCUUUUGUGCAGGAAUAAAGUGGGUUACGUGUAACCUUUUGUAUGUACUGUACGAAUAAGGAUCGGCUAACUCCGUGCCAGCAGCCGCGGUAAUACGGAGGAUCCGAGCGUUAUCCGGAUUUAUUGGGUUUAAAGGGUGCGUAGGUGGAUUGAUAAGUCAGCGGUGAAAGUUUGCAGCUUAACUGUAAAAUUGCCGUUGAAACUGUCGAUCUUGAGUGCAAAUGAGGUAAGCGGAAUGUGUUUGGUAGCGGUGAAAUGCUUAGAUAUAACACAGAACACCGAUUGCGAAGGCAGCUUACUGCGAUGCAACUGACGCUCAUGCACGAAAGCGUGGGGAUCAAACAGGAUUAGAAACCCGUGUAGUCC
rnacentral:rRNA from 1 species